rnacentral:misc_RNA from 1 species
AAGAAAAGCAAUGCUUUUUCUUCUCCCUUGCGUGUACAGCAUCGAUCAUAUGCUUGAAAACAGGGGUUAAGCAAGAACUCAGAAAUGAAUCACGGAAUUAUCUCAGCCGGAACCCAAGCUAGCUUACAUAUCUGCAAAUCACCCAAUAUCUCAGCCACAAAGUCCAUGUUUGAUCCUUCUUCUCACCUAACCUUCACUACCCAUUUCCCAGAAUCAAGCUUUUCUCUCAAAACUCAUUCCAAAUCUGUUAGAGCCAGUCCAAUUAAGGCCGCUGUGGCUGAUAGCGUCUAUGUUAACCCAGAGACUGUGAGUUUCUACGAUCUGUUGGGCAUCUCAGAGAGUGUUCCGCUCUCAGAAAUCAAGAAAGCUUAUAAGCAACUGGCAAGGAAGUACCAUCCUGAUGUGUCACCGCAGGAACAUACAGAGGAGUAUACCAAGAGGUUUAUUGAGGUUCAGGAGGCUUAUGAGACCUUGUCCGACCCCAAAAGAAGAGCUCUGUAUGACAGAGGCUUGCAUAUGGCUCUCUUUGCCGGAAAACAAUUCCACUACAACAUGGUUAGGGAAGGGAGAGGUGACUGGAAAGAGCAAUGGGAGUCUCAGCUCACAGAGUUAGAGAGAGAAAGGAACUGCAAUGAGGAGCUGAGAGAGAACAUGUCUUGGGGAGCUAGGAUGCGUAGGCAAAGAAGUGAAAGAUAUAAUUAAGAAAUUAUUAAUUGCAAUAACAGGCUCUGUAACCCCUGUUUGGUCCAAAGCUAAGCUAGGAGGCUCUACUACGAUGGACUGCAACUAGACAACAGCAGAACAUUUCCUGAUCGAGCUCUCAUCAGAGUUAAAACUCAUAUAAUCUCAGUCUCCAAAACGAUUUCAGUAACAUGAAGCUAGCUUAUCAGAUUUGUGGGAUAUAUCCGAAUGGAUUCACACAGCCCUCUGUCAGUCCCUACCUACAACUUGAGGCUGGGUCGGGAAUUUGCAAUUAUAGUUGAAAACUAG